rnacentral:rRNA from 1 species
AGUGAACGCUGGCGGUAGGCCUAACACAUGCCAGUCGAACGGCAGCACAGUAAGAGCUUGCUCUUACGGGUGGCGAGUGGCGGACGGGUGAGGAAUACAUCGGAAUCUACUUUUUCGUGGGGGAUAACGUAGGGAAGCUUACGCUAAUACCGCAUACGACCUACGGGUGAAAGCAGGGGAUCUUCGGACCUUGCGCGAUUGAAUGAGCCGAUGUCGGAUUAGCUAGUUGGCGGGGUAAAGGCCCACCAAGGCGACGAUCCGUAGCUGGUCUGAGAGGAUGAUCGGCCACACUGGAACUGAGACACGGUCCAGACGCCUACGGGAGGCAGCAGUGGGGAAUAUUGGACAAUGGGCGCAAGCCUGAUCCAGCCAUACCGCGUGGGUGAAGAAGGCCUUCGGGUUGUAAAGCCCUUUUGUUGGGAAAGAAAAGCAGCAGGUUAAUACCCCGCUGUUCUGACGGUACCCAAAGAAUAAGCACCGGCUAACUUCGUG